AGUGAACGCUGGCGGUAGGCCUAACACAUGCAAGUCGAACGGCAGCACAGUAAGAGCUUGCUCUUACGGGUGGCGAGUGGCGGACGGGUGAGGAAUACGUCGGAAUCUACUUUUUCGUGGGGGAUAACGUAGGGAAACUUACGCUAAUACCGCAUACGACCUACGGGUGAAAGCAGGGGAUCUUCGGACCUUGCGCGAUUGAAUGAGCCGAUGUCGGAUUAGCUAGUUGGCGGGGUAAAGGCCCACCAAGGCGACGAUCCGCAGCUGGUCUGAGAGGAUGAUCAGCCACACUGGAACUGAGACACGGUCCAGACUCCUACGGGAGGCAGCAGUGGGGAAUAUUGGACAAUGGGCGCAAGCCUGAUCCAGCCAUACCGCGUGGGUGAAGAAGGCCUUCGGGUUGUAAAGCCCUUUUGUUGGGAAAGAAAAGCAGCAGGUUAAUACCCCGCUGUUCUGACGGUACCCAAAGAAUAAGCACCGGCUAACUUCGUG
rnacentral:rRNA from 1 species